UACGUAGGGGGCAAGCGUUGUCCGGAUUUAUUGGGCGUAAAGAGCGUGUAGGCGGCUUUACAGGUCCGUUGUGAAAACUCGAGGCUCAACCUCGAGACGCCGGUGGAAACCGUAAAGCUAGAGUCCGGAAGAGGAGAGUGGAAUUCCUGGUGUAGCGGUGAAAUGCGCAGAUAUCAAGCGGAACACCGGUGGCGAAGGCGGCCUUCUGGACAGUGACUGACGCUGAGACGCGAAAGCGUGGGGAGCAAACAGG
rnacentral:rRNA from 1 species